rnacentral:tRNA from 1 species
GGGGGUUUAGCUCAGUGGUAGAGCGCUUGCCUAGGGAGCGCAAGGCCCUGGGUUCGGUCCCCAGCUCCG